rnacentral:rRNA from 1 species
UGGGGAAUAUUGCACAAUGGGCGAAAGCCUGAUGCAGCAACGCCGCGUGAGUGAUGAAGGCCUUCGGGUUGUAAAGCUCUGUCUUUUGGGAUGAUAAUGACGGUACCAAAGGAGGAAGCCACGGCUAACUACGUGCCAGCAGCCGCGGUAAUACGUAGGUGGCAAGCGUUGUCCGGAUUUACUGGGCGUAAAGGAUGCGUAGGCGGAUUUUUAAGUGAGAUGUGAAAACCCUAAGCUUAACUUGGGGACUGCAUUUCAUACUGGAAAUCUAGAGUGCGGGAGAGGAGAAUGGAAUUCCUAGUGUAGCGGUGAAAUGCGUAGAGAUUAGGAAGAACACCAGUGGCGAAGGCGAUUCUCUGGACCGUAACUGACGCUGAGGCAUGAAAGCGUGGGUAGCAAACAGGAUUAGAUACCCUGGUAGUCCACGCCGUAAACGAUGAGUACUAGGUGUAGGAGGUAUCGACCCCUUCUGUGCCGCAGUUAACACAAUAAGUACUCCGCCUGGGAAGUACGAUCGCAAGAUUAAAACUCAAAGGAAUUGACGGGGUC